GUGGAGAGUGUUUAACUUCAGUUUUCUGGGUUGAGAUGCAAGUUGUCUUUUACAACACAAGUUUCCUGGAUUAAGCCUGGAUGUGAUUUUGCCAUGAGUCAGGGUAAGGAUAAAGAAGAGGGAGGAACCUUUUGUGAGGAACCUGCGAUCCAAAGAGCAGCUAAAGGGAUUCACCAACAACUACACUCUACUUCCUCUACAUUCAGCUGCAACUCCUGGAGGACGAACCAGUCAAAAAAUAUUU